AUGGUUUACCGUCCCACAUAC
rnacentral:ncRNA from 2 species